UACGUAGGUGGCAAGCGUUAUCCGGAAUUAUUGGGCGUAAAGCGCGCGCAGGCGGUUUCUUAAGUCUGAUGUGAAAGCCCACGGCUCAACCGUGGAGGGUCAUUGGAAACUGGGGAACUUGAGUGCAGAAGAGGAAAGUGGAAUUCCAAGUGUAGCGGUGAAAUGCGUAGAGAUUUGGAGGAACACCAGUGGCGAAGGCGACUUUCUGGUCUGUAACUGACACUGAGGCGCGAAAGCGUGGGGAGCAAACAGG
rnacentral:rRNA from 1 species